rnacentral:rRNA from 1 species
CAGUCGCCACGGUAAAACGGAGGGUGCAAGCGUUAAUCGGAAUUACUGGGCGUAAAGCGCACGCAGGCGGUCUGACAAGUCAGAUGUGAAAUCCCCGGGCUUAACCUGGGAACUGCAUUUGAAACUGUCAGGCUGGAGUCUUGUAGAGGGGGGUAGAAUUCCAGGUGUAGCGGUGAAAUGCGUAGAGAUCUGGAGGAAUACCGGUGGCGAAGGCGGCCCCCUGGACAAAGACUGACGCUCAGGUGCGAAAGCGUGGGGAGCAAACAGGAUUAGAUACCCGCGUAGUCCCUGUCUCUUAUAC